CGUUGCGAGACAGAAUCUGAAAGAAGCUGGCGGCAAAUAUCUGGCCUGACGGACAGAAAUCACAUAAAAGUCAUAAGGCCAAGGAGGAGGUGGCAAAAAGCACUAAAGUCCGAUAGCUAUACGGAACGGCUGGUGUAAAUGUGGCAGGCAUAAGAUGGAAAGAA
rnacentral:ncRNA from 1 species